rnacentral:lncRNA from 1 species
CCAAAAAAGUUUGACACUGGAUGAGAUGGGGAAGUAUGAUUAAGUUGGUCAGCAUUUGAAGUAGGCGUCGCAACAUGAUCACCCACUGCUUCAGCUGGUUUUGUCGAGGAAACGGAGACAAGACCAGAAUCCCAUUCUUCAGUAGUAGAUGGUUUUGCAGUAAGUUGGUCCGCAUUUGAAGUAGGUGAGGCAAAAUGAUUACCUACUGCUUCAGUCGGUUUCUGUGACGAAGAAGAAACUAUACCAGAAUCCCAUUCUUCAGUAGAUGGUUUUGCAGUUAGUUGGUUUGCAUUUGACAUAGGUGUGGCAACAUUAUUACCCACUGCUUCAGCUGGUUUCUGUGAGGAAGCAGAGACGCUAGCAGAGAUGAUACCAGAAUCCCAUUCUUCAAUAGAUGGUUUUGCUGCUGGUGAACUUCUACCACAUCCAUCAGCUAUUUCGCGAAGAUGGACUCCACCAACCACUGAACUAGAAGCACUGCUCCACUUAUGGCCUGAUUCCUGAACAGGAAGACCUGAUGGAACAGAUUCUUUAUUUUCAGCUGCAUGCCCGCCUUGAGUUUCACGGUCUGAAAUAGGGGUCGGACUGGGUAAAUCAUGAUUAUCUGAACCACAAACAGGAAUUACAGAACUCAACAAAAGCAAUUUCUCAGCAGCCUGAGCUUCAAGUUCACCAUAGCUUGUCUCUGGAGUAGGACUAGGUAGGUCUGGAAGACUCAUGUUUCCUUUCUGUUCAAAUGAAUCACUUGACUUUGUAGCUGAAGCAAAUCUAGAUCCAGAAUCCAGGUUAAUUGUAUAUCUAUUACUGGUAAAGGAUCCCGGAUUCUGCGCCAAAGACGAGCCUAAAUUCCGGCUGUAAGACUCUGUAUUAUGACCACAGCCAUCAUUUAUCUGGCACAUGACACUUCCACGUGAAUUCUGAGUUCCAUGAUCUGUAGCAGGACGACAAUUAUCAUUUGCAUUUCCUCUUUCCUGACGUGGAAGAGCUAAAAUCACCUCCCGCUGACUAGAUGAAGGGACAGGGCUCGACAAUUGGGGUUUGUCAGAACAAGAACUAUUUCCCUUCAAUGAAUCCAAGCAUUGUGGAGAAGAAGGGAAUAGAGGGACAGGGUUCGACAAUUGGGGUUUGUCAGAACAAGAACUAUUUCCCUUCAAUGAAUCCAAGCAUUGUGGAGAAGAAGGGGAUAACCCAUUCAUCCUCGUAAACUCUGUGUUACCAUUUGAAUGAUAAUUUGCUUUGUGGGGGUGCCCAGGUACCUCUCGUUUUCCACAUUCUCCCCCUGAGCCAGUAGCAAUCUCAGACCACCUAACACUAGUUCUACUAUCUGAGGCAGCUGGUUCCCGUGACUGGCUUGAUGUCUUACCAUGCACUUGAGGUUCUUUAUGGAAAAGCCCCUUUAACGCAUUCGUUAAAAGUAUCGAGUCAUCAUGCUCAUGAUUUGUCCAUAUCCUCAUUUCAGGAGGAAAAAGCCCUGAUGUAUUCCAUUUCCUCAACUGCAUAACGGAAAAUGGUCCUUGGAUUCUACCAGCAGGGUCUCGGUAAUGCCACAGUUUGUCAGUUUCAAUACUGUUAGCGGAUGACGAGUUCACCAUAGAGAGACUAGCAAUUGAAGUUUCAGAUCCAGACCUAUCGACGGCCUGUUCAGCAGUAAGCCGAUUUCCUAGCUUGUCCAAGAUAUUAGAUCCACAAGCUUCUCUUUUCUCACUCAUUCUACAUCGAGCCAUAAUAGAUCCCUCUUCUUUAGCUGGAUAAACACAAGAAAACCCUUUAGUUAGCUACCGCUAAACCAACUUUUGGAGGACUUCAUAAUACAAUCUUCAUCUUACCUAGACUUCCUGAAGACAUAAGUUUUUCAUCCCUUCUACUAAUUCUAGUGCAUCUUGGUGCCAGAUACUCAACUGCAUUAUAUUCCAUCAGCAAUAAGCAACCAUUUUAUUUCUUCCUCACCCCCAAUCCCCACCCCUCAUCCCACAAAUAAAAAGUGAAAAAAUUUUAGCAACACCCACGGAGUUACUGGAAACAAAAAGAUAUAAACCUUUUCUCUUGUAAUUGAAUCCUCCAUCAUCUCCUUCAGAUUCAUAAUCUGGGUCCAUCUUUGGUUCAGCAUGCACUUCUGGAAUUUCCAGUAGCCUCCGCUGGCGCUCCUCAGGUGUCUUCAGAAGCUCUAACUUCUCUAUACAUUCUCUGAGCGUAGAAUUGUCAAGGAAGUCCUCAUGCUCAAGGUCAAUGUUCUCCAGUUAAUGAUUACACAAACUGAAAAAUUUAUAAAUAUCAAACGGUGCCUCAGCUUUUUCAGUUGAGGCAUCAAAUCUGAUUUUGGCAUGUUAAGAACUAUUAAUACAUAUUGCUUCGACAAAGGAUAUUCUUUCUUGUGCCCCUUCUCACUUGCUCUAUCACGAAGAUGAUUGAGGCGCAACAUCUCUGCUUCCAGGGACUGUAUUUUAAAAUAAAUAAACACAAGCACAUCAAAAGCACCAUAUUUAUAACAAUCUUUAAUGCAAAAACAUAACAGUUCUGCGAUAGCAGCUAACAAUUUGUAAUGUUCUGAAGAAGAGCAGCAUAUACUUACGGAGUUCACACUAUAAUGCAUGAUCAGUUACCAUCUCAUCGCAGUUAAUCUCUCUACAUUUUCCUUUUUGGUGCGGUACCUUCUUGAAACCUUUGACACAAAGGUCAUGAACAAAAUAAAGGACACAAAAACAAAAGGGACCUCUUGACAGAUCACUAAUUUGUUUAUUUAUUUUUUAUAUUCAGAUUUACUUUUAUUCUGUAUGUUUGAAUUUCUAUGCAGGACGUAUAUCUACCCCUCCAAUGCCAAGAACACUAUGAAAUGUUAUAAUUGUCUAACACUUUUUCCUUGAUAUAUCCUUUUCUUUUACUUGGUCAACCCCAUCCCUCACCCCUUAUUUAGAGCCAACAGUGUUUUUCCAACAUUUUCCCUUAGGUGACUUGAAUUUCCUACAUCUUGGUUGGAAGUGGAAUGCUCUUACCACUAGAAGAUUGCUUUUGUCAAAUUUGUUGGUAUAACAUAUUUGCAUCAAGUUAUGCCUAUUUUACAUAUUCUAUAUUAUCAUUAUAUUAAAUGUAUAUCUACCAAUAUCUAACAUGAUUACUACUCAAACUUCUCUUAUAAAUUUACGGAUCAAAGGUCGAGGACUAGAAAGGGAAGAGUAUCUAUAAGCUCAAAGAAAAGGUAUCUUCCAAUUAAUUUAAAUAAUCCUCCAAUUAAGAGUGCAUCAAGUCAUGAGUAACCUGCUUUUCUGAAAGACUUUGUUCUACUGAGUUCAGAAUAACAAAGAUAACCAAUACCCUCAGAUCCAGACUACUAUAUCUACUUUAUGAAGAAAGAACAAGCCAUCCAUUCCACAAGGAGAAAAGCACGGUGGUUUUUUGCAGCAGAUGCAGAAGAGGUAGUACCAAUUUUAUAUUAACCAGUAGAGAAUGUGCUUGCCAAUUCUAAGAAAGAUAUCAUUCAAAAUAUUAUAUUAGUUCUCUAUCCUUUCAUAUAUUCUCGCAGCAGAAGUCUCACAGGCACCUCUCAUAAAUUUUACAAUAAUGGGAUCUUUGCCAUAAUGAGAUAUUAAUGAACAGGAUAAAAAUAGGACAGCACCUAGAAAUACAGAAAUGUUGAAAGAUAGAGUCAGGUCAUACAAGUUUUAAGAAAAGAAUAGUAAAUUAGCUUCAGGAGAUGAGAAGCCAAAAUCACUAUUAAGAGAAAUGAACAGCAAAGCAAUUGACUUACAUCGUUGAGUUUUACUGCACGGAGUUCCAAAGCUUUCUUCUGUAUCUCACCCUGCAUUAGAGGGUAAAUUAGAAAAUUUUCAUUUACCAUAGCAAAAAUUUUAAUACUCAGGUUUGAACACUUACUACAGUAAGCCGUUUCACAAGCCCACAUUUUAUACUCUGACGUAGUCUUCUGCAUUCAUCCUGAAAUGACAAAAUUAAGCAAUCACAUAAGGCCCACAAAAUCAUGCUGAAACAACCCUUGGAAAGAUGAAAUUUUCUGUGUAAAGGGCUGCCAGAACUAGAAGCGGAAACUUAUUUAUGAUAGAAUAGUAAUUUAUGUAAAAUGUGAAAUAAGCUUUUCCCAUAAUGCGCCUGAAUUUCAUCGUCAGCAGCUGACAAAAUAAACUCAGCUUGCCAUUCAUUGCAAUGUUACAGAAGACAAAAGGAAAGAUACAAAAUAUAAAACAUAACAAGAAAAAAAAAACAGAUUUCCUUCAUAUAGAGACCUUCCAAAGCAAAAAACAACGGUGCUGAUUCAUUCAUGGGGCAAUCUUUGGUCAAGCCACUCUCUUCAGAGAUGCGUGCAAUAUUUAUUACAUAAGGAAUCUCAUGACCACAUGCUGAUUGACUAAAUUCAACAUCGAGCAAGAAAAGCUGCCAGACCAUUCCCAGGUUGUAGAACAGCAGAAGAUAAUAAAGACAGCAUAUAUGGCGCAUGUCAUACCAAAAACCACCAAAAUGGCACCAUAUCAUGGCAUGUGUCAAUGUCAGACAGACCGCUUGCAAUGGUAAGUGAUAACAAGAGGCUGAUUGGUACUCCAUCAAUACAACCAUCUCGAACUAGCUCAUCCCCUCAAUGCAACUAAAUUUAGUUUUUUACAUCCACGAUACAUGUAUCAGUACCAGACAGACAGCUUGAAUGAGUAAGAUGGGUAAAAGGUGAUACCAAGAGGCUGAUUGGUCUAAAAAUACAUCCACCUCCAACCCAGCCCUCUUCCUCGAUGCAACUGACAAACCCACUUAAUUUUUCGAAUUCACAUCUAAUACUUGUUGGGUAACUUUUGAAGUGCUUUAUUAUGAAAGCUGCAUCUGAAAAAACUCUCUCAAUUCACAAUCAUACGCCAAAUACCUAAGACCAGAUUGAACGUACUCAACGAUGCGCAUGAUCCCCUUACAAUUCCAUCCUCAAGUCCCCAGUAUUACAAUCUGAUCCCAAAUCUGAGUGCAUCAUAUAUUCACAUUAAAUGGACUAAUUCACAAAAAUUAUACCUGCUACAUGCAAAACUGCCCGGACCUGUGUGAGCUAAAUGUUCCUUCAGUCUUAGCUUACAUGGUAUAUAUUUCAUCUAUAGGAUGCCAAUACAGCUGCUGUUUGUGCUACAUUACUUUAAGUAAAGAGUACUAGCAUGGCCCAAUGUGAAAAUGAGCAGCCCAAGAAAAGCGCUACAAAAGAUUGAGCUACAAUACAGAACAAUAAAGAUGAAUAUAACCUUAUCUGCUGCAAUAUGUACUGGUAAGCAAGAUUUCUUUAACAAUGCCAUAGUAAGAGGAAGCAAUUCACAAAUAGAUGAACAAGGAAAUGUGUUGUAUCUUAAUUACCUCACAGAAUUCUUGAUUUGAAAUAGAAUCAAUGGAUAAGGCUUCUUUCUUGUCUAAGUUCAAUACUUCAAGUAAUACAUCAACUGUCUUAUCUCUAAUCUUAUAUGGCUCAGAUGACUUACUUGUACCUGCAUUAAAGGAACCAUAAGCUCCAUAAACUAGAACAAGAUUAUAUUACAUACUGUGGUUAAAAAGUUUCAUGAUCAAUUUGUACCUACAACAUGGACAAGCCUGUAGAUUUCCUGCUUCUGAUCCAAGAUUAUAUUACAUACUGUGGUAAAAAAGAUUCGUGAUCAAUUUGUACCUACAACAUGGACAAGCCUGUAGAUUUCCUGCUUCUGAUCGUUGCCAGGUAUUCUUAUGCGGACAACUGACCCAAUAGCUCUGGCAUGGAACUUCUCCACAUCUUCAGCAAGAGUUUCCAUCAAAUCACGCCUCAAAUAUAUGAAGUUUACAUUGUGAGCAUCAAUUGCAGCAUAUUCAUCCAGAUUAAUCUGGGUCAUUUUUACUUCACCAUUUUUACGAGUUCUACGUUUUUUAGAUGAAGAAAUAUCAUUACUAUCAUCAGGUUCCACAUGGCUAGUCAUUGUUCCAACAAUUCCAGCUGGUAUAAAAGCACUCUUCUUUGACUCCUCCUUUAUCAAAAAGUGAAACUCGAGAAGCUUCAGCAUUUCUAUGUGGCCAACACGUGGCUUUCCGAAAAGGCUUUUGAGCCUCAAAUCACAAAUUAUUUGGCUCUUCCUUCGAGGAUCUCGAAGAUUAUUUCUCUUAAUAUAGUCGAGCAAAAGUGCCUGGACAUCAAACUGAGAUAUAGCAGAGGUAUCACCAUCCUUCAUAUGUGCAACAAAAUCCAAAAGCUCCUUUGACGCCCACUCCAUGCAUCCGUUCAGUGAUGUCUCCGCAAAAGUGCUUUCCUGUUUUGACCUCAAACAAUCUUCAUUCUGAACCUUUAGCUCUUGAACAGGCUUGGUUAGCUCUAACAGCGGAGUAGAACUGAGAAUGCUCGC